GCACCUUUGCAGAGUGAUUGGUGAAAUCAGCGUUAGUGACUGACGCCGCUGCGGCCCGGCCCAGCUGGCCCUUGUUGGAGUUUGGGGGCUGCGCCUGAGGGACAGGGAGCGGGCCCCGCUUCCCGCGCUUUUCGCGGUCCCGUGCUGCUCCCUGGCGGCCGGCGCUGAGGGAAUUGCAGGAAUUCUGAGGCGUCAUUCCUCUGCUAUACCGUCCUGCUAAAGGCCUUACGCGUUCUCCAGGAGGGGUCCGCACAAAGCAGCCCCCUACCCGUACGGGAGUCGGAAGUGCCUCUUCCCCGUGAAUUGCCGCUGUCCCUGCCCUGAGGAAGCCCCCAGAAAUGUCGCCAUGGCCGUCCCCUCGUCCUUGCCCGUGUGCCCGCUGUGCCGGCCCGCCCUGCCGCAAAGGCGCGUUCCUCACUCGAUCCCCUUGGCAGUGGCUCCAGGCAGGAAUCUCGGGCUGUCUUUCCACAGUUCCUGGACAGUUUCCUUCUGGGAUUAAACAAAUCCCCGCACUGUUUCCCGAACGAGCAACUGCCUGAAGCAAGGUAUAUAAUCCUGCAUCACCUGAGCUUUUGGCAUUGGUUGGAUAUGUCAGAGAAAAAGCUUGAAACUCCUGAAAACCAGGGAGACACAAUUGUCAUCACAUCUGAAAUUUUAAUUGUCAUCAAUUGAUCAUCUGAAAUGGACAGCCUGAGAGAGACAAGGGCAGGUCCAGCAGGGAGCUUGGCAACCGUGAAGAUGGUGAUGAUCCUACAUGUUAUCUGUUCCCUUGCAUGUUAUCUGCUCCUCCCCAGCAGAUUGCACCCAGCAAGUCCCUGAGAUGCCUUUUUCCAUUCCCUCAUUAAGGAUAACGUGCUGGAUUUGACAUGCAUCUGGAAAAAGCAUUGGUUCUCCAGGCUGUAUGCAUUGCAGGCCCAAGAAGAGGCAAGGCAAAAGCAAUAUCUUUGCACUCACCCUCUGUGUAAUGGCAGCCAUUGUCACCCAGCUGUAGAAAAAUGUCCCCUUCCUUAAAUUUUGCUUGCCAGAUCAGACAUUUCUCCUACUUUCCACUUAACACAUCUCUAGCUGUAUUCUGUUGAAUCAGCAAUGUUUCCUUUGUUUAAAAGAAAUUUGUCUAUCCUAUAAUAAAACAUUCCUCAUUGCUUUUCCUUCUUCUGUUUAGCUGAAAUGUGCAGCCUUGCUCUGCAAGCAUGGAUUCAGGGAUUUCUAAAAGCUAAAGGUCAGCCUGAAAUCUCACAGCAUACUUACUGUACAAAAGCCAAGCAAGGAAAUGUUCAAGGAGUCUUUGGAGAGCAUUAUCCUAAAAUAUAAACUUAGAGUCAUGGCAAUCCCAUGUGCCUUGUGGACAGUAUUUUUUUUUUUUUAACAAAGGAUGUUAUUAAUAUGAAUUUUCUCAUAUC